AGCAGCCGCGGUAAUUCCAGCUCCAAUAGCGUAUAUUAAAGUUGUUGCAGUUAAAAAGCUCGUAGUUGAAUUUUGGGUCUGGCCGGGCGGUCCGCCCUCUGGGUGAGCACUGUUCCGACGCCGGGCCUAUCCUUCUGGUGAGUCGGCAUGUCCUUUGUUGGGUGUGUCGGGGAACCAGGACCAUUACCUUGAAAAAAUUAGAGUGUUCAAAGCAGGCGUAUGCUCGGAUACAUUAGCAUGGAAUAAUGAAAUAGGACGCGUGGUGCUAUUUUGUUGGUUUCUAGAACCGCCGUAAUGAUUAAUAGGGAUAGUUGGGGGCAUUAGUAUUCAAUUGUCAGAGGUGAAAUUCUUGGAUUUAUUGAAGACUAACUUCUGCGAAAGCAUUUGCCAAGGAUGUUCUCAUUAAUCAAGAACGAAAGUUAGGGGAUCGAAGACGAUCAGAUACCGUCGUAGUCUUAACCAUAGACUAUGCCGACUAGGAAUCGGGCGAUGUUAUUCUCAUGACUCGCCC
rnacentral:rRNA from 1 species